GAUGAACGCUAGCGGCAGGCUUAACACAUGCAAGUCGAGGGGCAGCAUAAUGGCUAGCAAUAUCUAUGGUGGCGACCGGCGCACGGGUGCGUAACGCGUAUGCAACCUACCUUUAACAGGGGGAUAACACUGAGAAAUUGGUCCUAAUACCCCAUAAUAUCAUAGAAGGCAUCUUUUAUGGUUGAAAAUUCCGAUGGUUAGAGAUGGGCAUGCGUUGUAUUAGCUAGUUGGUGGGGUAACGGCUCACCAAGGCGACGAUACAUAGGGGGAAUGAGGGGUUAACCCCCCACACUGGUACUGAGACACGGACCAGACUGCUACGGGAGGGAGCAGUAAGGAAGAUUAGUCAAUGGAGGCAAGUCUGAACCAGCCAUGCCGGGUGCAGGAUGACGGCUCUAUGAGUUGUAAACUGCUUGUGUACGAGGGUAAACGCAGAUACGUGUAUCUGUCUGAAGGUAUCGUACGAAUAAGGAUCGGCUAACUCCGUG
rnacentral:rRNA from 1 species